UACAGGAGGUCCCGAGCGUUGUUCGGAUUCAUUGGGCGUAAAGGGUGCGUAGGUGGUUGGGUAAGUCUGAUGUGAAAUCUCCGGGCUCAACCCGGGAACUGCGUCCGAUACUGGAAGGCUUGAAUUCGGGAGAGGGAUGCAGAAUUCCAGGUGUAGCGGUGAAAUGCGUAGAUAUCUGGAGGAAUACCGGUGGCGAAGGCGGCAUCCUGGACCGACAUUGACGCUGAGGAGCGAAAGCCAGGGGAGCAAAGCGGG
rnacentral:rRNA from 1 species